rnacentral:rRNA from 1 species
CCCUUAGACGUUCUGGGCCGCACGCGCGCUACACUGACCAGUGCAACAAGCAUCCGUCCUUGGCCGACAGGCCCGGGCAAUCUUUGAACGCUGGUCGUGAUGGGGAUAGACUUUUGCAAUUUUUGGUCUUCAACGAGGAAUUCCUAGUAAACGCAAGUCAUCAACUUGCAUUGAUUACGUCCCUGCCCUUUGUACACACCGCCCGUCGCACCUACCGAUUGAAUGGUCCGGUGAAGCCUCCGGAUUGGCGCGCACCUCGGUGCCGCCGAGAAGUUGGCUAAACCUUACCAUUUAGAGGAAGGCGAAGUCGUAACA